GGUUGGUCCGAGUGCAGUGGUGUUUACAACUAAUUGAUCACAACUAGUUACAGAUUCCUUUGUUCCUUCUUCACUCCCACUGCUCCACUUGACCAGACUUUA
rnacentral:Y_RNA from 1 species